UACGGAGGGUGCAAGCGUUAUCCGGAUUCACUGGGUUUAAAGGGUGCGUAGGUGGGUUGGUAAGUCAGUGGUGAAAAUCUCCGAGCUUAACUUGGAAACUGCCAUUGAUACUAUCAGUCUUGAAUAUUGUGGAGGUCAGCGGAAUAUGUCAUGUAGCGGUGAAAUGCUUAGAUAUGACAUAGAACACCAAUUGCGAAGGCAGCUGGCUACGCAUAUAUUGACACUGAGGCACGAAAGCGUGGGGAUCAAAACAGG
rnacentral:rRNA from 1 species